UGCAGACCAACCUGUCAUAAUAAAGACAUCUAUACCAGGUAUAUAAAGACAUCUAUACCAGGUAUAGAACUCAGCUGUACUUCCUGUCAUAAUAAAGACAUCUAUACCAGGUAUAGAACUCAGCUGUACUUCCUGUCAUAAUAAAGACAUCUAUACCAGGUAUAUAAAGACAUCUAUACCAGGUAUAGAACUCAGCUGUACUUCCUGUCAUAAUAAAGACAUCUAUACCAGGUAUAGAACUCAGCUGUACUUCCUGUCAUAAUAAAGACAUCUAUACCAGGUAUAGAACUCAGCUGUACUUCCUGUCAUAAUAAAGAUAUCUAUACCAGGUAUAUAAAGACAUCUAUACCAGGUAUAGAACUCAGCUGUACUUCCUGUCAUAAUAAAGACAUCUAUACCAGGUAUAGAACUCAGCUGUACUUCCUGUCAUAAUAAAGACAUCUAUACCAGGUAUAGAACUCAGCUGUACUUCCUGUCAUAAUAAAGACAUCUAUACCAGGUAUAGAACUCAGCUGUACUUCCUGUCAUAAUAGACAUCUAUACCAGGUAUAUAAA